CUAUAGCUCAGCUGGGAGAGCGCCUGCCUUGCACGCAGGAGGUCAGCGGUUCGAUCCCGCUUAGCUCCACCAA
rnacentral:tRNA from 2 species